rfam:Schistosoma haematobium scaffold979_8, whole genome shotgun sequence.
AUCCAACUGACGAGUCUCAAAUAGAAUGAGACGCGCAUCCUGGAU